AUGAAUCCCAUGUUCAUACUCUCAUUGAAUUGGCAAAAGACGACCUUUGGCAAUAUAAGAAGGAAAUGGAUCAUUCUUUUCUAAUGAGAAACGUGCUUCAUUUUUCAUAACUCCUGAAAGCAUGGUUCCUUUCACGGUUGAGAAAUAGCCAUCAUCUCCCCACAACCACUUUAUCCUCCAAGUUCUCUUUUGUUGAUGCAAUACAGUGGUAAUUGGAUAUCUGGAAGUUUAGCACUCUUCAGAGGUCUCCAACUCCCCAAACAAUCUGUGGACAACCUCAAAGCAGACAGUCAUUUUCCCCAGGACACAAAAUCUUGUUUCCAGAUAAUGAAUGCUAUUCUGCCUCUACUAGAAACUCCAAGUUCUCCAGCCCAACACAGCACUCAAGGGCCCCUAAGAAUGAGUCAACAGAGAGAUGUCACUUGGGCACGUCGCCCUGCCGGUGUAGGCUGGGAUGUUCACAACAAUCUUGAUGCAGACAAAGAAGCAGGAGGUGACAACAGGUUUCUCACUUUGAACUGAUCUCAGCUCACACCUUCCUCCUAGUUACCUUAUCUCAGCACUCAUCUUUCAGAUUUGUCAUCUGGGUUUCUUUGCAAAAAAAAUUAAAGAAAGUGAGACAUCAUGGUCCAUUUCUAUUCUUCCCUUUUAAGUUAGCACAGCAAUUUGCCCUUGGUGACUGGAGGCCUUGCUUUAGUCAGUACCUGUGUGCCGUUUACCACCAGAGGCUUGGCCUUCUCCACACUUUUUAAAGAGACCCGUUGACAGAAUCAUUACAACCAUUCAGCCAGGGUUGUGGACCCUUGGCACAUUAGUCCUUGGCACUGCUGACAUUUGGGCCCAGGCUAAAGCGAGCAGUCCUCAGGGUUUUGAUGUGGAUCGAGAUGCCAAAAAGCUGAACAAAGCCUGCAAAGGAAUGGGUAUGAGAGAUAUUUUGUUGCUAAUUUGCUUCUGAAGUUGAUUAAACUUGGUCUCAUGUCCAACUUCCCCAUGAUGUUAGGAAGCUGACAUCUCACUAUCUUGUGUAUUCCAAGCUAAUGCAAGUCAAUCACUUCCACUAACCUCUUUAUUAAAGUUCGCAAAAUUACAGUAGGAUCCUAUUACUUUUCAGGAUUCUAUAUAACAGCUAGGAGUUGGAUAUUGUGACGUUUAAUUUGAACUUGAGGUGAGAGAAACUUCAUGAGAAGUGCAGUUCAUGCAAUCCUGGUGUAUUAGUCUGUUCUCACACUGCUAAUAAAGACAUACCCGAGGUGGGGUAAUUUAUAAAGAAAAGGAGUUUAAUGGACUCACAGUUCCACGUGGCUGAGGAGGCCUCACAAGCAUGGCAGAAGACAAAGGAAGAGCAGAGGGACUUCUUAUAUGGCAGCAGGAAAGAGAGAAUGAGAACCAAGUGAAAGGAGUUUCCCUUUAUAAAAUCAUCUGAUCUCGUGAGACUCAUUCACUACCGUGAGAACAGUAUGGGGGAAACUGCCCCUGUGAGUCAAUUAUCUCCCACCAGGUCCCUCCCACAACAUGUGGGAAUUAUGGGAGCUACGAUUCAAGAUGAGAUUUGGGUGAGGACACAGCCAAACCAUAUCACCUGGUAUGAUCUAAACCCCUCUGAUCCCUUCCCUAGGAGAUGGUGGGGAAUUGAGUCUGAUGAGAGCUGGAUUAGGGACCUGGAAGCAGCAUGUAGAAGUAGAUCGGCCGGGCACAGUGGCUCACGCCUGUAAUCCCAAUACUUUGGGAGGCCGAGGCAGGCAGAUCACGAGGUCAAGAGAUGGAAACCAUCCUGGCCAACAUGGUGAAACCCCAUCUCCACUAAAAAUACAAAAAUUAGCUGAGGGUAUUGGCAUGUGCCGGUAAUCCUAGCUACUCAGGAGGCUGAAGCAGGAGAAUCGCUUGAACCAGGGAGUCGGGGGUUGCAGUGAGCCGAGAUUGCGCCACUACACUCCAGCCUGGGUGACAGAGAGAGACUCCAUCUC
rnacentral:sRNA from 1 species